CUCAAGACGAGAAAAGCGAAGUGGCUUCACUCAGCGUCUGUCCUCCGACAUAAGCAGUACUAAAUAAUGUAGUCUGAUCAGAACUUGGUGUUAACCAUGGCUUCCAUGCCAGCUUUAGGAUUUUUAGUGUUUGGCUCUGGAACCUUUUGUUCCAGCAGCAUUUUUAGUCUUUUGCCUCUGUAGUUGAUUUAAUUAAGAAGAGAGAGAGAGAGUAUCAAAUUGUCACCUCACAAUGGAGAUUUUUCUCCUAUAACCGCUACUAAAGCGGUGUAAGUACGGGAACAUCAAGUAUGGGAUCAACGUACGAAUCUAUCAUUUCAUGGGUUCAUGAACGUGUGUCUUUAAGCCGCUGAGACGCCUCUGAAUCGAUGGCCGUCCUAGCUUGGGGUAUGCUGUCUCCUGUCCAUCUGGACGUGUAGAGCUCGAUCACCGAGCCUAGAUUCAAUUUGAAGAAACAGCUAUGAGGUAACAACUUUUUUCCAAAUUAAACGAACGUCCCAGGAACUCCGGAUGUGACAAAAUGGGUUUUAGUGACGACAGACUUUCAAUCAAGUAAAACGUGCGGAAUUAGACUUUUGUUAAAUCAUAAUUUUGAGAUAUUAUUGGGGAUAGAUAGAUUAUUAAUUUCAUUAAUUUGGUUUGAAUAAUAGAUUUUCGGUUGUAUCUUUACAUUGAAAAGUGAGGCCAUAUUUUCUCUGUAAGGAUCCAGCUGGGAAUUUCAGUUUUCUUUAAAUUUAUAAAUAAUUAUAAUCUUCUAAAGUACUAAAAGUUGAAUGAGUACAUGAAUUUUUAAAGGUCCCUUAUUGAUUAAAUUAAUGUUUUAAAAUAAUUCUCAUCUUAAAGUUGUAAAGGAUCAAAUGAAGUUUCAAGGACCCUAACCUUUCCUAAAUUGUUUUGAUGACAUAUAUUUUUGAAUAGUUUUUUUUAAGGUAGUAUACCAUGAUAUGAUACUUGAGGAAUGUUUGUCCUUGCAGCGUUCAUGAUAUAAAGAUACUGAAUAGUUAUUAUUGGGGGGAUCAUUAAUAUUUGAUAAUGUUUUGAUAGUGUUUUAAAGUUUCCAAGUGUGUUCAAAAUUUAAUGUUCUAAGAAUUUUAUGAAUUUUAUGUGGAUCUUUUCUUAAAAUAUUUAUUGUUAUUUAUGAUUAACUUCUGAGACAUAUCUAUGAUAAUUUUCAAUAAUUGCUCUUUUGAAAUUAGAGUCCUUCAAGCUUUUAUGAUUCAAUCUAAAACGUUUUCAAAUGUAGAGCAUACGGAGUAGGUUAUUACCGUAUUACCUAUUUCAGAGAUAACCUAACUUUAGUAAUUUUGUUUUCGAUUUUCAUAAUGUAACUUCCUUUUGUUUUAUUAAUUGUUGAAUUUAACUGUAAGAGGUGAUAAUAUAAUUGAUACCUUCUCUCUA
rnacentral:lncRNA from 1 species